rnacentral:rRNA from 1 species
AGUCGAGGGGUAUAGUUCUUCGGAGCUAGAGACCGGCGCACGGGUGCGUAACGCGUAUGCAAUCUGCCUUUCACAGAGGGAUAGCCCAGAGAAAUUUGGAUUAAUACCUCAUAGUAUUAUGGAAGGGCAUCCUUUUAUAAUUAAAGUCACAACGGUGAAAGAUGAGCAUGCGUCCCAUUAGCUAGUUGGUAAGGCAACGGCUUACCAAGGCAACGAUGGGUAGGGGUCCUGAGAGGGAGAUCCCCCACACUGGUACUGAGACACGGACCAGACUCCUACGGGAGGCAGCAGUGAGGAAUAUUGGUCAAUGGGCGCAAGCCUGAACCAGCCAUGCCGCGUGCAGGAUGACGGUCCUAUGGAUUGUAAACUGCUUUUGUACGAGAAGAAACACUGAUUCGUGAAUCAGCUUGACGGUAUCGUAAGAAUAAGGAUCGGCUAACUCCGUGCCAGCAGCCGCGGUAAUACGGAGGAUCCAAGCGUUAUCCGGAAUCAUUGGGUUUAAAGGGUCCGUAGGCGGUUUAGUAAGUCAGUGGUGAAAGCCCAUCGCUCAACGGUGGAACGGCCAUUGAUACUGCUGAACUUGAAUUAUUAGGAAGUAACUAGAAUAUGUAGUGUAGCGGUGAAAUGCUUAGAUAUUACAUGGAAUACCAAUUGCGAAGGCAGGUUACUACUAAUGGAUUGACGCUGAUGGACGAAAGCGUGGGGAGCGAACAGGAUUAGAUACCCUGGUAGUCCACGCCGUAAACGAUGGAUACUAGCUGUUGGAAGCAAUUUCAGUGGCUAAGCGAAAGUGAUAAGUAUCCCACCUGGGGAGUACGAACGCAAGUUUGAAACUC